ensembl:lncRNA
UAUGGAUAGUCCAUACUGGUCUUUACUAUGGUUCUACAUACAGUACCUGUAUUGAUAGUCCAUACUGGACAGUAAAUUCCUAUGGACCUGAAAGGGACUGCAGUGUGCUCCAGUCUCCAGCAGGGGCAGUAAAACCCUAUGGACCUGUUUAGAGUACAAUUACCCCAACAUCUAUCCUUACAUCUGAUGCAAUAACCAAUAAAGCAGCUAACCCAACCCAUCUCCUCUGUUAAAGUAGUUCCCAGACCAACCCAUCUAUGAUGUUAAAGUAGUUCCCAGACCAACCCAUCUCCUCUGUUAAAGUAGUUCCCAGACCAACCCAUCUCCUCUGUUAAAGUAGUUCCCAGACCAACCCAUCUCCUCUGUUAAAGUAGUUCCCAGACCAACCCAUCUCCUCUGUUAAAGUAGUUCCCAGACCAACCCAUCUAUGAUGUUAAAGUAGUUCCCAGACCAACCCAUCUAUGAUGUUAAAGUAGUUCCCAGACCAACCCAUCUAUGAUGUACUUGAAAAGGUACUUGAAUACUUUGAGCAUUUCUUUUUGUCCUCCAGGUGGGCGGGAUUUGUUUGUACUUUUAGGACUUUUCUAUUGGUUCCAUUACAACAAACUCAAUCAAACACUGCUUAUUAAGUAUUCAACAUUAUUUUAACGCAGGUCUGUUUCCACGUGCAAUAAGCCUGUAACGUCUUAUAUGAUCUCAUCAGGUAAAGGUGUGUCAAAUGGAAGGGCAAGUCUCACCACUGAGACUCUGUACUUAAUCCUAUAAUGGCCCGUAGUAAUAUUAUAGUCUGAUUAUGGCAUGUAGCAAUCUUAUAAUUUCCUAUAGUGAUCUGUACUUAAUCCCACAGUAAUAUUAUAGUCCGAUAAGGGCAUGUAGCAAUCUUAUAAUUUCCUAUAGUGAUCUGUACUUAAUCCCACAGUAAUAUUAUAGUCCGAUAAGGGCAUGUAGCAAUCUUAUAAUUUCCUAUAGUGAUCUGUACUUAAUCCCAUAGUAAUAUUAUAGUCCGAUAAGGGCUGUAGCAAUCUUAUAAUUUCCUAUAGUGAUCUGUACUUAAUCCCACAGUAAUAUUAUAGUCCGAUAAGGGCAUGUAGCAAUCUUAUAAUUUCCUAUAGUGAUCUGUACUUAAUCCCAUAGUAAUAUUAUAGUCCGAUAAGGGCAUGUAGCAAUCUUAUAAUUUCCUAUAGUAAUCUGUACUUAAUCCCAUAGUAAUAUUAUA